AGAGUUUGAUCCUGGCUCAGGACGAACGCUGGCGGCGCGCCUAACACAUGCAAGUCGAACGGAGUCAAGAGGAGCUUGCUUUUCUUGACUUAGUGGCGAACGGGUGAGUAACGCGUGAGUAACCUGCCCCUGGAGUGGGGGACAACAGUUGGAAACGACUGCUAAUACCGCAUAAGCCCACGGCCCGGCAUCGGGCUGCGGGAAAAGGAUUUAUUCGCUUCAGGAUGGACUCGCGUCCAAUUAGCUAGUUGGUGAGGUAACGGCCCACCAAGGCGACGAUUGGUAGCCGGACUGAGAGGUUGAACGGCCACCAUUGGGACUGAGACACGGCCCAGACUCCUACGGGAGGCAGCA
rnacentral:rRNA from 1 species